AUCAAAACUUUCAACAACGGAUCUCUUGGUUCUGGCAUCGAUGAAGAACGCAGCAAAAUGCGAUAAGUAAUGUGAAUUGCAGAAUUCAGUGAAUCAUCGAAUCUUUGAACGCACAUUGCGCCCGCCAGUAUUCUGGCGGGCAUGCCUGUUCGAGCGUCAUUUCAACCCUCAAGCACAGCUUGGUGUUGGGACUCGCGUUAAUUCGCGUUCCUCAAAUUGAUUGGCGGUCACGUCGAGCUUCCAUAGCGUAGUAGUAAAACCCUCGUUACUGGUAAUCGUCGCGGCCACGCCGUUAAACCCCAACUUCUGAAUGUUGACCUCGGAUCAGGUAGGAAUACCCGCUGAACUUAAGCAUAUCAAUAAGCGGAGGA
rnacentral:rRNA from 1 species